rnacentral:rRNA from 1 species
AGAGUUUGAUCCUGGCUCAGAAUCAACGCUGGCGGCGUGCCUAACACAUGCAAGUCGAAACGAGAAAGUGGAGCAAUCCAUGAGUAAAGUGGCGCACGGGUGAGUAACACGUGACUAACCUACCCUUGAGUGGGGGAUAACCUAGGGAAACCUGGGCUAAUACCGCAUAAUACCUACGGGUCAAAGGAGCAAUUCGCUUAAGGAGGGGGUCGCGGCCGAUUAGUUAGUUGGCGGGGUAAUGGCCCACCAAGACAGUGAUCGGUAUCCGGCCUGAGAGGGCGCACGGACACACUGGAACUGAAACACGGUCCAGACUCCUACGGGAGGCAGCAGUGGGGAAUUUUGCGCAAUGGGGGAAACCCUGACGCAGCAACGCCGCGUGGAGGAUGAAGUCUCUUGGGACGUAAACUCCUUUCGAUCGGGACGAUAAUGACGGUACCGAGAGAAGAAGCCCCGGCUAACUUCGUGCCAGCAGCCGCGGUAAUACGAGGGGGGCGAGCGUUGUUCGGAAUUAUUGGGCGUAAAGGGUGCGUAGGCGGUUCGGUAAGUCUUGUGUGAAAUCUUCGGGCUCAACUCGAAGUCUGCACUAGAAACUGCCGGGCUUGAGUGUGGGAGAGGUGAGUGGAAUUUCCGGUGUAGCGGUGAAAUGCGUAGAUAUCGGAAGGAACACCUGUGGCGAAAGCGGCUCACUGGACCACAACUGACGCUGAGGCACGAAAGCUAGGGGAAGCAAACAGGAUUAGAUACCCCCGUAGUCC